rnacentral:lncRNA from 1 species
AUGCUGUUCUUGCGAUAGUGGGUGAGUUCUCACGAGAUCUAAUGGUUUUAUAAGUGUUUGGCAAGGUCCUGUUUUGAUCAUUUGCUCUCUUGCCUGAGGCCAAGGAAGAUGUGACUCUUCCCCUUUCGCCAUGAUUGUAACUUUCCUGAGGCCUCCCCAGCCAUGCAAAACUAUUGUUCGCUGUUAGUGUAUAGAAACACUACUGACAGGCCAUAAUGAAUAAUGAGAUUGAAGGAGUAAUAAAAGUCUUCCACCAAAGAAAAGCCCAGGACCUAGUGGAAUCACUGCCAACCUUUGCCUAUCAGUAAUACCAGUUUCACUUAAACUAUUUCAAAAAAUUGAAGAGGAGAUAAUACUUCCAAACCUACUCUAUGAGACAUCAGAGCUCCAGGCCUUUGGACUAUGGGACCUACACCAUUGGCUUUCCUGGUUCUCAGGCCUUCAGACUUGGACUGUGUCUCACUUCUGGCUCUUUUGGGUCUCCAGCUUGCAGAUGGCAGAUCAUGGAACUUCCUGGCCUCCAUAAUAAGUAAGAAGAAAAAUGGACUUCUUUCACUAAAUAAAGUUGAAACAUAUCUGAAAUGAUCAACGGUACUGAUCACAAAUGAAGAGUCAGUUCAAGACGUAAACAUUUACUGAACAGCUGCCAUAGUUGUAUAAAAAUGUUUUAUGAAAGAAUAAGAAAGAAAUGGAUGAAUUGGGCUCCAUACUCGAGGAACUAAAGCUUACUCUUCAAGAAUAGUCAAAAGAUAACACCUCUAGCAGUUUAAUAUGCACAUCCUUUGGUGUUUAUUGAAGGUAUGUGUCUACUUACUACUUACAUGGGCAAAAAGAAAUGUGUGAGAAUGCUGCUGUCCUCUUCACAUGAAGCACCAAAUACAGACUGUUUUCCUUUUGGGGUUUUCUUCAAGUUCCUACUGGUAGAUAUUGCUGCAA